GGGAAGGCCGCGUGCAAGCGAAGGAGGAGUCACAUAGGAAAAACCGUGUGGCAAUCCAAAGGCGUGAUGCGGACCGAAUUAAAGUAGGGAAGUGUGUGAGCCAUGAAUCAAGAAAAGCCGCUAUUGUUUUUAAGAUACCCGUACCGUAAACCGACACAGGUGGAUGAGGAGAGAAUCCUAAGGCCGGCGGAAGAAGCAUUGUUAAGGAACUCGGCAAAAUGACCCCGUAACUUCGGGAGAAGGGGUGCCAACGAGAGUUGGCCGCAGAGAAUAGGCUCAAGCAACUGUUUAGCAAAAACACAGGUCUAUUCAAAACCGUAAGGUGAGGUAUAUGGGCUGACGCCUGCCCGGUGCUGGAAGGUUAAGAGGAGAGGUUAGCGCAAGCGAAGCUUUGAAUUUAAGCCCCAGUAAACGGCGGCCGUAACGAUAACGGUCCUAAGGUAGCGAAAUUCCUUGUCGGGUAAGUUCCGACCCGCACGAAAGGCGUAAUGAUUUGAGCGCUGUCUCGACAAUGCAUCCGGUGAAAUUGAAGUACCAGUGAAGAUGCUGGUUACCCGCGCCAGGACGGAAAGACCCCAUGGAGCUUUACUCCAGUUCGGUACUGGGGUCCGGCAGUGCAUGUACAGGAUAGGUGGGAGGCUGUGAACCUGGAACGCCAGUUUCAGGGGAGCCAUUGUUGGGAUACCACCCUUGUGCUGCUGGGCUUCUAACCAGCGGCCUUUAUCAGGCCGGGGGACAAUGCCAGACGGGGAGUUUGACUGGGGCGGUCGCCUCCGAAAGGGUAUCGGAGGCGCUCAAAGGUUCCCUCAGAAUGGUCGGAAACCAUUCGAAGAGUGCAAAGGCAGAAGGGAGCUUGACUGCGACACCGACGGGUGGAGCAGGUACGAAAGUAGGACUUAGUGAUCCGGUGGUAUUAAGUGGGAAUGCCAUCGCUCAACGGAUAAAAGCUACCCUGGGGAUAACAGGCUUAUCACUCCCAAGAGUUCACAUCGACGGAGUGGUUUGGCACCUCGAUGUCGGCUCAUCGCAUCCUGGGGCUGUAGUAGGUCCCAAGGGUUGGGCUGUUCGCCCAUUAAAGCGGUACGCGAGCUGGGUUCAGAACGUCGUGAGACAGUUCGGUCCCUAUCCGGCGUGGGCGUAGGAUAUUUGAGAGGAGCUGUCCUUAGUACGAGAGGACCGGGAUGGACUGACCUCUGGUGUACCGGUUGAACCGCCAGGUUCACGGCCGGGUAGCCAAGUCGGGAAGGGAUAAACGCUGAAGGCAUCUAAGCGUGAAGCCCCCCUCAAGAUGAGAUAUCCCAUUCGAAAGAAGUAAGACCCCUUGAAGACGACGAGGUAGAUAGGGCAGAGGUGGAAGUGCCGUAAGGCAUGGAGCUGACUGUUACUAAUCGGUCGAGGGCUUGACC
rnacentral:rRNA from 1 species